UGAGGAAUAUUGGUCAAUGGACGGAAGUCUGAACCAGCCAAGUAGCGUGCAGGAUGACGGCCCUAUGGGUUGUAAACUGCUUUUGUAUGGGGAUAAAGUCAAUCACGUGUGAUUGUUUGCAGGUACCAUACGAAUAAGGACCGGCUAAUUCCGUGCCAGCAGCCGCGGUAAUACGGAAGGUUCGGGCGUUAUCCGGAUUUAUUGGGUUUAAAGGGAGCGUAGGCCGGAGAUUAAGUGUGUUGUGAAAUGUAGACGCUCAACGUCUGACUUGCAGCGCAUACUGGUUUCCUUGAGUACGCACAACGUUGGCGGAAUUCGUCGUGUAGCGGUGAAAUGCUUAGAUAUGACGAAGAACUCCGAUUGCGAAGGCAGCUGACGGGAGCGCAACUGACGCUGAAGCUCGAAGGUGCGGGUAUCGAACAGGAUUAGAUACCCUGGUAGUCCGCACAGUAAACGAUGGAUGCCCGCUGUUGGUACCUGGUAUCAGCGGCUAAGCGAAAGCAUUAAGCAUCCCACCUGGGGAGUACGCCGGCACGGUG
rnacentral:rRNA from 1 species